UGGAUCAUUCUGAAAUGAGAA
rnacentral:piRNA from 1 species